UGCCAGCACCGCGGUAAUACGUAGGGGGCGAGCGUUAAUCGGAAUUACUGGGCGUAAAGCGCGCGUAGGCGGCUUUGCAAGUCAGGUGUGAAAUCCCACGGCUCAACCGUGGAACUGCGCUUGAAACCACUAAUCUUGAGGGAGUCAGAGGUAAGCGGAACUGAUGGUGGAGCGGUGAAAUGCGUUGAUAUCAUCAGGAACACCGGUGGCGAAAGCGGCUUACUGGGACUCUUCUGACGCUGAGGCACGAAAGCCAGGGGAGCGAACGGGAUUAGAUA
rnacentral:rRNA from 1 species